rnacentral:rRNA from 1 species
AUGCGGAUCCGCGGCACCGUGAGAGAGGUAACGCCGGCCGGCGCUUCACCACUGGCUAUUGUUUGGCGGCGGCAAGGAGAAGGGCGCCGAGGAUGUGCUGCUCUGUGCACGGCCGUCGAAAUUUUUCUGUGGCUUUCUCCAUUAGCAUGUUUCUCCUCAACGACCAUAUUAAUCUGGCUGGCGUUUGCACAUGUGAUUUUGGUUGAGGUGGAGGACCAACAUGACUUCUGUCUUACCGGAGUGCAUGUCUAUUCAUCUGAAGCCGGGAGUUGGAUUCAUAAGGAGAAGAGAUGGAGCGGCAAUAUUGAAGUCACUACUGAUCGCCUUGAUCGGUCAACUAUCUAUCUUAAUGGUUAUCUGCAUUUCUGCGUCACUGUUGAUGGUUCUGACCGUUGUGGACAAGGAGGAGGGGGAGCAAGGACUAACUUUCGUGUUCCUGAUGGUUUGGAUGUUGGUUUUAUUCAGCAGUCAGAGGGCUGCCUGCAUUAUGCUGGUUUUGACACAGAUGGCAAUGAUGAUGAUGUUGUUCAACUGCUAGUUUAUGUUCUUAAAGACUAUGACAGCAAAGAAUGGAUACUGAAGCAUAGCGUUGAAACUUCGCAUGUGUUUGGAGGGCGACACAUAGAAGACCUUGAUGAGGAAUUUAAUUGGAUUGCAAUUCAUCCGGAAUGUAACUUGAUCUUCUUCACUGUGGGACAGGAUAUCACAUUCAUGUGCUAUGAUGAUGUUGUUCAACUGCUAGUUUAUGUUCUUAAAGACUAUGACAGCAAAGAAUGGAUACUGAAGCAUAGCGUUGAAACUUCGCAUGUGUUUGGAGGGCGACACAUAGAAGACCUUGAAGAGGAAUUUAAUUGGAUUGCAAUUCAUCUGGAAUUUAACUUGAUCUUCUUCACUGUGGGCCAGGAUAUCACAUUCAUGUGCUGUGAUAUGGAUCGUCGACAAGUCAAAGGGGCAUGGUAUGUCUGCUUGAAUUUGGUCCUCCUUCCUCUGAUUGGUUCUGAACAGCAGGAGGUGGCUAGUACUUCGAGCUGGGCUGGAAUAUGGUCAAAUGAUUGGUGCAGUCGCAAUGUAAGUUAUUUCCAUUAUCAGAAGUUGUUCGAAAUCCACAAGGUGGAUGAGGAGGUAUUUCCGCUGCUCACCAUGAAGGACCUCAAGGACAUGGGCAUCAGUGCCAUUUGGUCGUACGUGGAGCUCAGGAGCAGCUGUUUCCCGAGUUGGGUGAGAGCUCCGAGCUUUUUGUUUCUUCUCCCGUGGAAGGAAGGUGGCUCUCGAAGGCGGCCAGGCCUCCAUGAGACUCUCCAUCAGGAGAUCGCCAAGUACCAGUCUAGGUUUCUUUGGGCAGGCGAGGGCGAGAAGCAGAAAUACCAUAUAGGCGUCUCGCUUUCCGGCGUCCCUCGGCCCCCUCGAGGUGGCCGCCUAGGACUCCCUCCUCCAGGACAUCGCUCUUCUGUCAAUGGACGUCGAGGGCGCCCCUGCUCCAUCUCUUGGCGACUGGAGUCCACCGGCCGCUUCUCUAGUAAGUCCUUAUACUCGUCCAUCACUCCUUCGUCGGCCCCUGAACCCUUUAGCCUGAUUUGGGACAUCCGCCUUCCUUUGAAGAUCAGGAUCUUCUUGUGGCAGUGGAUUCGGGGAUGCCUACCCUCUGGGGUAGAGGUCCUCAAGCGUAAUGGCCCAGGAGACAGGAUGUGCCCCCUUUGUGGCAUAGUGGAGGAUGCUAAUCACAUCUUCUUCUCCCGCUCCACGGCCAGUUCCUGUGUUCUUGCUUUCGCGAGAUGGUCGAUGGACAGUGGUGCAACACCAACUUCCCGGACCUGCUUCCCGAGAUCCACGCUGGCGCCCCCCGCCACUGCCAUAUUAGAUGGUUGUGCGUUGGGGUCCUCGCUUGGACGCUUUGGACCAUCCGCAACAAGCUUGUUCUUCACAAAGUGCCUCUUCGACAUGCGAGUGACGCGAUCUUUAAAAUGUGUGGUUACCUGCAGCUUUGGCGGCCGCUUAGCCGCCCAUAGGACCGGGACGCCAUCAACACCCUCCUCGCCGAUCUUCGCUCGAUGGCCUUCCGCGUGGCACCCCCGUUGCCGCCCCCUCCUCCGGAGCCCGGUUAGGCCUGCUGUUUCGGGCUGCUGUGCUUGUGUUUGUGUUUUGAUUUCAGGGCUUGUUGAGCUGUGCCCUCAACAUUAA